AUUGAACGCUGGCGGCAGGCCUAACACAUGCAAGUCGAGCGAGCGGCGGCCGGGUGAGUAAUGUCUGGGAAACUGCCUGAUGGAGGGGGAUAAAUACUGGAAACGGUAGCUCAUACCGCAUACCAUCAUUUGUGCCCAGAUGGGAUUCGCUAGUAGGUGGGGGAAUGGUUCACCUAGGCGACAAUCCCUAGCUGGUCUGAGAGGAUGACCAGCCACACUGGAACGGAGACACGGUCCAGACUCCUACGGGAGGUAGCAGUGGGGAAUAUUGCACAAUGGGCGCAAGCCUGAUGCAGCCAUGCCGCGUGUAUGAAGAAGGCCUUCGGGUUGUAAAGUACUUUCAGCGAGGAGGCGUUACUCGCAGAAGAAGCACCGGCUAACUCCGUGCCAGCAGCCGCGGUAAUAC
rnacentral:rRNA from 1 species